UCACGGUUUCAAAACUAAACUUUGUAUAUGGAAGCCAACCUUCGGUUUGAUGGCCUGAUCAGUGGCAUAAAUACCGACUGCAUUGUAUAGCUUAUGUCAAAAUAUUGAUCGUGACCUGCGCAGUGCAGCUAGACUGAACUAGACUAGACCUCCAUUGUGCACUCAAUGCGUCACACGCCGUCCGCCGGGAGUGACGUGCUGCUAGCCCUUGGAUCCGAAACUGUUACUGCAUCCUUCCAUUUCUGUCUGCCUCUUCAGGUUUACGAAGGGGUCUGGAGAUCGUGAGGUUCUACUAGCUGGUGGUUGGAGCCGCAAGCAGUCAUGCAGAUCUGGUGCUGGGAGUCAACACUAGGAUAUGGAGGGCCGUUGUGGACCUUCAAUUCCGAGGAGCAGAAUGGCCAGGUUCCUUCGUCCUGUCGAUUCCGAAGAUUUUCAUCAGCCUGUUCCGAGCCCCGUGACUUAUGACCCCCACUUACUCCCCACGGGGUGUAAGUGGCUUCUCACAGGCCAAAGUCAACCUCACCUGCUCGCGGUACACCCUGCUAACCCACUAACGAG